GCAACAUGGCGGCGUCCGCAUUGGCUGAUGGCAUGGCUCAAAACGAGUGAUUUGGUCCGAAAAAUCCAACUUUCAGGUGCAAAUUUGUCCGAAAAAUUUGUCGAAAAAAUGCAUUAGGUCUAUGGAACCCCUGAUGGUGCAUUUAUGAAGUCCGUAAUAUCCAACAAGUCCGAAUUAUUGGAGUCCGAAAAAUCGGUCGGCGACUGUACAACACACUGGACUU
rnacentral:lncRNA from 1 species